UACGUAGGAUGCAAGCGUUGUCCGGAAUUAUUGGGCGUAAAGAGCGCGCAGGCGGUUUGAGAAGUCAGAUGUGAAAGAGGCCGGCUUAACCGGCAAGGGUCAUUUGAAACUGACAGACUAGAGUACAGCAGAGGAUAGCGGAAUUCCCGGUGUAGUGGUGAAAUGCGUAGAUAUCGGGAGGAACACCAGUGGCGAAGGCAGCACUCUGGGACGUGACUGACGCUGAGACGCGAAAGCGUGGGGAGCAAACAGG
rnacentral:rRNA from 1 species